rnacentral:lncRNA from 13 species
CCUAUGAGGACACUGUCAUCCCAGCUUUAAAACAGGGAAUGCCUGAUCAUGCCAAAGCUCCCUGGGGAAGGCUGAAUUGAUGCUGUAUUGAACCCCCUUGCACAAAGAAGAAAGUUUUCUAAGGAGGAGGAGCCCAAGUGAAGAGCAUGGGAGAAGGUGAAGAGACCCCCAGGUUGCAAGUCUAGUAACCAGAGCAUGCGCAGAGAACCGAGCAUACCAGAUUUGAGACUGUGGAGCUAAUGUGAAGGAAAAAGUCAACCAUAAGCAGAACUUAAGUACUCAGAUCAAGGGACUCGGCCCAAUUAAGAAGUGAGCGGUGCCCUGUUUUGUUGCAGUAUGAAGUUAAAAGCCAA